UACAGAGGUCUCGAGCGUUUGUUCGGAUUCAUUGGGCGUAAAGGGCGCGUAGGCGGCGGGGUAAGUCUGGUGUGAAAUCUCGGAGCUCAACUCCGAAAUUGCACUGGAUACUGCUCUGCUAGAGGGCUGGAGAGGAGAUCGGAAUUCAUGGUGUAGCAGUGAAAUGCGUAGAUAUCGUGAGGAAGACCAGUGGCGAAGGCGGAUCUCUGGACAGCUCCUGACGCUGAGGCGCGAAGGCUAGGGGGAGCAAACGGG
rnacentral:rRNA from 1 species